CAGGCCAGGACUCGCAGCAAAGGACGCGGCGUGGCACAGCUCCAGGAGCACCUCUGCACCCGGCCUCCUCAGCUUCCACACCUGAGCUGGCACCCACCUGUACCCAUCUGGGUGGACCGUCCAGGCCGUGGCUAAGGACACGGGUGACACCGCUCUUUUCCCUCCGAAGAGCUGGGUACUAGAGGGACCGUACAGCGAGCUGCUCCCAGGCGACUCCAGCCCUGCAUACUUCUCUGUCGCAUCUUUCUGGAGGUGGAAGUCCAAGGUCACAGCAUUUGCAGUGUGAAGAACGUAGGAGCAGACUUGCGACAGAAGAGCUGCUUCCACAUUCUAAAAGUGGGUGAGCCUUGUGCCCCAACGCCAUGCUGUGUGUUUUCAUUCACAAGAACAUGAAAGCUUACAUCUUCGUCCAUUUGCCUUUUCAUUAUUAAAAAGUGUAUGCAUAUGA